CACGGGGCCACCGAGCCAAAGGGCCCCCGAGCCCUGCACGCUCAGCAGGGCGACGACUUGAAGAGGUGAAGGCCGAGGCAGGCUGAGAGGCUCAGAUGGCGUGGGCCUGGUGUCUGCAGCCUGCAGCCUGGCUGACCCUCGCUCGCCCUUCGCCCUGUCCGGUCCUGGCAGGACUCGGUGGCAGGGACCAAGGCAGAUGGAAGCUGAUAAUUGAAAAUGAAAAUACUGGACAUAAAGGCAUCCGAUGACAUAGUUGCCCGGGACAGGGGACAACCAGCUGAGAAAUAGUUGGUAGAUUAAAACUCAAGCACAUCCAAUUACGUGCACCAGUGAGACCCAUGGUGAGGUUCAUCACUCUUCAAAAGGAGGAUAGGAGGCAAUGGAGGAAAGGAAAAUUUGAUUAAAAUUUUAUCCCUCACCUGAGUGGAAAUAGUUAUAACACCCACAGGUCCAUUCACACAGAAAUGCUGACUGGAGCCAAGUUUAGACGAACUGCACACGAGCUGCCAGCCGAAUAUUUGCCGUUGGGUACCAUAAGGAUUGUACUACUUUCAGGGCUUUAUAAAGCACUCGGUUCAGUGCUCUGCAUACAGUAAGUACUCAAUUAAUACCUAUGACUGAUUGACGCACCCAUCAUGAUACACAUACCUCUGGUCAAGCAAAUCAACAAUGUGAAUUUGAACAAUGAAAAACACAGGCAUACACCAUUCAUAU